rnacentral:lncRNA from 1 species
UUCUAGCUUGGGAUAGCUAGUAUCGGAGUUUCUGACGUUUUGUAUUCGGGUUGAAUACAAAGGAUAGUGGAUUGAAAUUCCCAAGUGGGAUCUUGGGGAGUGGAUGUAGGUGCAAGGUUAGCACCGAACCACUAUAAAUCUUUGUGUUUGUGGUGUGCUUUAUCGCUUUAUCUUAUUUCUUUAUUAUAUCCUUGCAAUACUACUUUAGGUAAUUAAUAUUGAUUUAAAGCCAUUGUUUUGUUCUUCAUAAGUUAUUUGUUGAGCUUAAAAUUUUUAGAAACCCAAUUCACCCUCCCUCUUGGGUUGCAUAGCU